rnacentral:rRNA from 1 species
UACGUAGGGUGCGAGCGUUAAUCGGAAUUACUGGGCGUAAAGCGUGCGCAGGCGGUUUUGUAAGUCAGAUGUGAAAUCCCCAGGCUCAACCUGGGAACUGCGUCUGAUACUGGAUGGCUUGAAUCCGGGAGAGGGAUGCAGAAUUCCAGGUGUAGCGGUGAAAUGCGUAGAUAUCUGGAGGAAUACCGGUGGCGAAGGCGGCAUCCUGGACCGGCAUUGACGCUGAGGAGCGAAAGCCAGGGGAGCAAACGGG